UACGUAGGGGGCUAGCGUUGUCCGGAAUCAUUGGGCGUAAAGAGCGUGUAGGCGGUCCGGUAAGUCCGCUGUGAAAGUCGGGGGCUCAACCUCGAAUGCCGGUGGAUACUGUCGGGCUAGAGUGCGGAAGAGGCGAGUGGAAUUCCUGGUGUAGCGGUGAAAUGCGCAGAUAUCAGGAGGAACACCUAUUGCGAAGGCAGCUCGCUGGGACGUUACUGACGCUGAGACGCGAAAGCGUGGGGAGCAAACAGG
rnacentral:rRNA from 1 species